GAUGACGAAACGCCCCACCAAUCAGGAAAGGGUUGCAGGUCUUGUGUGGGUGGGGAGUCAAAGAUCAACAUCCGGGUUAAACAGAAACGAGAACUAGAAUAUGACUAUUCUUGUGCAUAGUGUAAAUGUCUAGGUUGGAAAAAUGCUCACUCGUGUCUGCGUCAAAAUUACAUAUAAACGAGAUGGCCAUGAGAUACAUAGUUUGAAACAAUACCAAUGCCGAGGUCAUGGCGAACCAGAUUAGAUUGCGUGUGUACAGGAGGGGGGGGAUGAAACUCCACGGGACAAGAGAAAGGCAAGCACUACACAGCUUUUACUUCCGGGGUUUCGAGUUGAACUCUGAGGCAAAUGGGGCAGCAGCAUGACACGCUUUGGAGAAAAUGCUGCAGCCCCAAACAUCUCCUGUGUGUUUUUCCAUUUCAUCUUGCAGACGUCGCUGCGCGCGUUCAGGAGCACUCUUAGAAGAUUGUCCGUCCUACGAGUAAGAGGCAAAUCCCAGCCUUGAAGAUAUUCAGAGACACAGUUGAGAUUGUUUUCACGAUGGGUUUUGGGCUCCAAGCACAACUGGAUGUCUAAGCAUGCCAAAAUAGCUUGAACAUGAGAAUUGGUCAUGGCAAUAAACCCUCCCCUGGAAAAAAAUCAA